AAAAAGGAGGAAUGUGGGAAGGGAGGGAAAGAGAAAACACGGCAGGGAAUGUAGAUUCUUUUAAAAUGGAUAAAUCUGAAUUAAAAACAAACCGCACUGGGAGAAGAAUGUUGGUGCUGGUACAGGGUGGGCAAGGAUGCAGAGUCAUGAAUUCUGGAGUAUCCCUGGGAGAAAAUGUGCUCACCUCCACACCUAGAAGAACUUGAAAAUGACUGGAUCCACUGUGCCAGGGAAGGCCUCCAGACAAAGAGCUGCACUUCAUACCUCUACCUCAGAACUCCACGCAAGACCCAGGGCAGAAGGUAUCUCAACCAUCUGGACUGUGACAGCUCAAAUUGCUUCGAAGAAUUGGGAGGAGCAUCUAGUGACACCUGAAAAAGCGGGAGGUAAGAGCUGCUGUCCGCCCACAUCACUGCACACGACAUAGGAAAUGCCACACGGGCGCUGGGGGAGAUUGUGGCACAGAGUAGCAGACCUGAGACCUCCCAGGGGGUAGCACAAAAUGUUGCCCCUGGAGAAGCCACUCAGGUCAGCAGGAGACUGGAGAAUGGGGGAAGAAGACAGAGAGGGACAGUGAUGAAGAUGGAAUUUAAAAAUAAGUGCCAGUCUUUUGUGCUUCCAAACAGAGCAAGGGGACCUUGGAGGACUGUCUGUAUCCUACUUCAGGCAUGAGAUACCUGUGCAGGGCUCAUCUCUGUCAGAAGGGGUGUGUCCCGAAAGAUACUGGUAGAGUAGGUAUGUAUAUGUGUCACAUGUACAGUGUCAGAGGAGGUCAAGAGAAGGACAUAGAUUCCCUAGAUCUGAAGUCACAGAUGGUCAUGAGUCAUUAUGUAGGUGCUGAAGAUGGAACCUGUGUCCUUUGAAAGAACAGCAAGUGUUCUUAACUGCUGGUCCAUCUCUC
rnacentral:lncRNA from 1 species